AUAUGAUUUAGGCCUUCCCGUCUACCCGGGUGGGGCUGCUACCUUAUCAUACCUUCAGGUGAAGAAGCAUUUCAUACUCAGCCGCUGGGUGCCAGAAAAUACUCAAGUCAAAAGAGCAACAGUGCCCAGGCUGCACUACCGGCUAAGUACAUCUAUACUCUUAGCUGGCGGUAUUUGUCAUCAAUUGACCCGUGGAAGCAAGAGGUAGGAACUUCUGAGGGCCUCACUACCAUGAUCCAUUGGCUAAUUACUAAGGGUCUUAUGAAAAAGUUGCUGCGUCCUUGUUUUUGAAAAAUUGAAUAAGUUAUAGGAUGAAUUUGGCACUCUCAGUCUUGAAAAUCAAACGAUUUAUUUCAUUCUGCCCGACGUUUUGGCCAUGGGAUGUGGCCUUUUUCAAGGGAAACAUUGGUCUAUCGUUUUUGUCCUAAAUUGUCUGGUUUUGUGGUUGUCAGUUAGACACGGACACGGACACGUUUAAUGCUUCCAGUGAGCUAUUUGCUCUUUGAAGGAAGCACGACACUAGACAACGGACUAGCAUGCAACGCCCAGUGGCACAGCCGAAAACUUUUCCUGACAGCUGCGGCGGGAAUCGAACCCGCGCUCCUUAGCACGAUGCGACUAAAGGCUUGGUGACCCUAGCCGUACGACCACGAAGCCACAGUUGGUCAUGAUCUGGGCUGAGAGUCUACAAAUAAAUACAAACGUAACAGCUUUUUUGUGGUGAUUUUGUGGGAACUUUUAUCAUUAACUUUACACAGUACUACUUGAUCCACCAACGAACAAGUUAUAGUAAAUGACGCGUAAACAUGUAACCAAUUUUCAUCGAAUGAAAACUUCAUUAAUUGAAGCAUCACUACCUUUUACACGUACAUUACAAGCGAAUUACGCGUGUUCCGGUUUGUUAGCUUUUCCAUAGUAAAGAACGAAAUGAGAAUCGCGGGGGUUGUUACUACCCAAAACAUUUCUUCCCGCUAUAUAAACGCAGGCUAUGGUUAAAUAUUUGAGUGUUUUCCUUGUGAACCAUCAUUGUGGCACAGGAACAGCCAGGAAGUAGAGCUCGAUCACCAACAGUCAGUGCAACCAGGAGUUUAGUGCCGAAACAUAAAGGGAAGCGGAAAUUCUACAUUUACCCGCACAACCACUACCCGGUAUUCAGUAUGAGUUUUGCAAGUAAACUUUCGCUGGUUGUUUUACUCCUGGCAGUUUCGUUUAUACUGAUAGCAUCAGGGCAAUCAGCAACGCCAACCAAUAGUACCACCGCCAUACCGUGCAAUGGAACUAGAGGACGUGGUCGUAGGAUGAUUGCAGAACUGCUCAAUGUGGCAGUAGCUGAGCAAGAUCCGACAUACUGAAUAAUAGCUUGCGGUUACCGUCAACAGUCUGGAACUUCAUUUGAUGUGUGGUAACGUUGUCUACUUCUGGUAAAGGAACUGCAGAAACAUGAGUGUUGAGUGAUGUCAUAAUAUUGUUUCAAAGAUGGCUCUGUUGAAAUAAUCCUGUAAAUUAAAGUUGUUUGGUGAACGAA